CCAAACUUUUUUUUUUCUCCCAAUCCAAUCUCCUCUUCCCUAAUUACAUUUAAAUUUUAAAAUCAAAGUACCGUUGACUGCCUUAAAUCAAACAAAUUGAAAGAUUAGAUAGUAAAAAUAAGAUUUUGAAAUGUGGGAUGGCCGAUUUAAAAUGGUUCAUACUUCAUAAAAGUUUUUUAAGUUUUUACUUUGAUUUUAAUAUUAAACUUCAUGCUAUAUUUAUAGUCUCAUGAAUGAUCAACUUUACAUUCAGAAUCUUUUGAGAUAUUCAAAAUAUGAUUGAUAGUUGAUCGCGUUCAAAUUCUUCUGGAAUAGAAGAUAUUCCAAAUAUGAUCGGUUAACAUUUAAUUUUAAUAACUAUGCAUUCUAAACUUUAUAUAUUAGAUAGUUAACAGAUUAUUUCCUUGAAUAAAAUUAUUAAUUGAACAAAACUGAUCAAUAUUCAAAUACUAUCUUUGGUUGAAAUAAGAAUAAAAUAUUGAAAAGGAUAAAUUACCCUUUUGGUCCUUAGUCUAUGAGGCAUGCUACCUUUAGUCUUCGAACUUUAGUGCGUUGUAAUUUCUGGCUCAAAUUAUGAGGCAUGUGACACUUUAGUUCUCAAACUUUAAUUAAUUAUAACUUUUUGCUUGAACUAUAAGACAUGUGACAUUUUAAUUCUCAGCUUUUAUUCUUGCUAUAAGUAUAUUUUAUUAUUUUUAUGGUUUUAUUUUUUUUUUUUUUAUCAUUCUCAUGCUUUUAUUGCAACUGUUACUUUUUUUACUUUUUUCUAUUUUUAUUCUUUUUUAUUUUUUAACAUUUUCUUUUAUUUUUCUUAUGUUUUUAUUGUUUCUUCUUUCUUUAGUCUCUUUUAUUUAUUUAUUUUACCUGUCGCAACAUGCAGAUGCCUUCACUAGCUAGUAUAUUUAUGAAACCUUAGUUAAUAAUCAACAUGGCAAUUUCUGUUAAGUUUGGUGGGGUUGGGCUUUUCUUCUUCUUCUUCUUCUUUUUUAAUACAAACCAAUUCUCCUCUCUCCUAUUAUAAAUUUUUAGUAAGCAAUUUUUAUGCAUAUCUUUUUAUAUGGUUUAGAUUGCUUAUAUUAAAUGUUAGAACUAAAAAUGAGAAGAUCUAGUUCGUCAGGUGGAAAAAUACCAACAGAGAUCCGAGAAAGAGAGAAGAAAAAUAAAACACACAAUAUUUACGUGGUUUGGUGUCACGCCCCGGGACAAGCGGAAGCCCGCCCGGUACGUGUGCAAACCCACCAUAUGCCUACAAUAUAUAAGGCAUCUACAACAAUAUGAUAAAUACGACAAGAGAAUAAAAGCAUCUAUUAUGAUAUCAGAGCAUAAUUACAACUAAUUUCUAAUGACAAGUGAAAAUAUAAAAGAGCUAAACAACGAUCAUAAUCCAUAAAGUGAAACAUACAACUGAGAUCCAUACAUAAUAAUAAAUACAAAAGUGGUGGUCUCUACACAUAGGGUACAAAAACUCUCUCUCUUUAACUAAAACAAAAAGAGAGAUAAACUACCUAAAAUAAAACACCUCGCUAUCUAGCUAGAGGCGACACCCUUGCCGUGAUCCCUAGCCUCUCCCGGCGUGGAUGGCUCUAUAAACAAAAACAACAAUACAAUGAGAAUGAGAACUAUUAGUCAAUAGUUUACCGUGGGUAAGCCGCUGACAUGAGCGAAAUAUAACACUAGGUCAUGGGGGCAUAAGUAGUAUAUGUAUAACUGA
rnacentral:lncRNA from 1 species